AACCCGUACAACCGAACUUGUGAGCGGUCAAUUCAUCUGCCUCGACUGUCAAACAGUCAUCAAAGAUGUGGAACAACAAUUCAAAUACACACAGCCAACUAUCUGCAGAAAUCCUGUAUGUAGCAACAGGGCCAAAUUCAUGCUUGACGUCAACAAAUCAAAAUUUGUCGAUUUCCAAAAAGUGCGGAUCCAAGAAACACAGGCCGAGCUCCCUCGGGGGUCCAUCCCAAGAAGUGUGGAGGUUAUUCUCAGAGCUGAAGCCGUGGAAAUGGCCCAGGCCGGAGACAAGUGCGAUUUAACGGGAACCCUAAUUGUUGUACCUGAUGUAUCGUCUAUUUCUAUGCCUGGUAAGUUAUUUUGAGCAAUUUAGAGGUUUAGUAAUUGCUUGGUAGUUGAGGUAGUAGGUUGUAUAGU
rnacentral:precursor_RNA from 1 species